CAUCCUUGUGCCUGUAUGGAGCCUUAUCCUGUCUUCCUCUGUAGGUUUUUUGGCCUUCCACUCACAAGGCAGGCAAGAUACAAUCCCCUUUUUCAUCUGCACCCCGACUCCCUGCAGCAAUGAACAAAUACUGUUGCGCCUAAGGUCAGACCUGGCCUCUCUUUCCACUUUGGAUCUAUCUAUAGCUGCUUUUUUACAAACCUAACAAGAUUGGAGAACCAGUUGUCUUUCUAGUGAUUAGAAGUGGUGACUGUGGUGUGUUACAUUGCAUGCACUGGCUUAUCGGACUGGAUACGUGAAUCUUCACAAUUCCAAGUGGGACAGAAAAGUCUGCUUCUCCUGCUGGAGACAAUGCUAAGGCUAAUCACCUUUAUGCCUGGGAAAGCCCGCACUCAUUGAUUUAUGAAGGACAGCUUUGCUUUGCUCAGAAUGGCAUUCUUAGUUGGCUGUGUGUUUAAAAUCUGAGCUUCGAAUGCGUCAUUUCACAACAUCCUGACUCACCAGCUUUCUGCCGAGAAGUCUGCUAAGCAUCUGCCCACAUUCUCAGAGAUAUGCCAUUCACAGUAUGCUGAACCUUUCUGCUCAAUCAUUAAUCAAGAUAAUGUCCUGCAAACAUAGCCACAGGCCAAUCAGAGGAGGCCUUUUUCUUCUCACUUAUGUUGACAGACUGUUGAUGGCCUUUCACACUAACUUGGUUGGAAGAAGAAGAAGAUGAAGAAAAAAGAAACUUCAGAUGAUCCUAUUUGUGUAAGAAAAAAAAAAAAAAAGUCUUCCAAACAACUCCCUUGUCGCCAGCAUCAACAGCAGCUGAACACGGGCUGAGUUGUUGCACAGUGAGAAUUAUUCCUUUCAUUUCAAAGGCAUCAGAUGUUUGGGGCAAGCAAAAGUCCUGGCUGGUUAAACACGAUCAAAAAUAAACUAGUAUCACAUUUGCUUACGGAACGCGCUGAUUAAAUCUCCCGCUGCAGUCUGAGUACACUGUUUGUUCCUCCAGAAAGGUUUUAAAAGGAGGGAGGUCAGCUCAAAAAUCUAAGCUGAUUUGGAGAGCCUAAGAAGCGUCUGAAGAUCUUCUCUUUCCAGAAUUCCUUUCUUAUGAUGAAACACUGCUGCCAGUGCGCCUGAGCUGUUGAUGACUUAUAAACAGAAGUCAAAGGGAAUUGGAGCUUCUGUCAAGACCCAUUCCAAAUAUAAUAAAAAGAGAGAUGAUUGGAUGUCUCUUCAGGGCUCUGGAUGAGCGCUUUUGUGCUUUGACUGUUCUUUGAACUGGGAUGCAAAGUGCAGUUUCAGGCUCUCAUUUGUUACCUGUCUCAACAGAAAUGUCAGCAGUUUAUGUUUCCAGUAGCUCUUGUCUCAAACCAUAGCUUCCUUCCUGCCUUUCUUUCUUCCUUCCUUCUUUCCUUUCUUUUUUCUUUCUUUCUUUCUUUCUUUCUUUGUUUCUUCCUUUCUUUCCUUCCUUCUUUCUUUCUUCUUUCAAUUCUUUUCUUUCCUUCAAUUCUUUUUCCUUCUUUCUUUCCUUCCUUCCUUCUCUUCUUUUCUUUCAUGCAUUUCUUUCUUUCACCUUUGAAAAAAAGUAGCCCAUAAGAGUACAUCAUCCAGUGUUCUGGGACACAGUAUAGGUUUUAUACUUUGCUAUAUGCAAUUAAGCAUCUUCUCCCUGACAUGUCUGUCCCUGUGCUGUGACCUGUGGGUCUUAACUUUGUCAUUUGUAGAUGGGAACUGAACAGAGUUUACAGUGCCAAAUUACUGUCCCAAGGUUCCUGUGGCACUUGGUUCUUAAGACUUAUUAGCCCUUUCUUUUCUCUUUCUUUUUUUGUUUUGUUUUGUUUUUCAAGACAGGGUUUUUUUUUUUUGUGGCUUUGGAGACUAUCCUGGAACUAGCUCUUGUAGACCAGGCUGGUCUCGAACUCAUAGAGAUGCACCUGCCUCUGCCUCCCGCGUGCUAGGAUUAAAGGUGUGCAUCACCCUCACCUGGUUAUUAGCAGGCCGUCUUAUCCUGUACCUUACAAGACAUUCAGCACCAUCCUUUGCUUCUACCCCCUAGACAGCAAUUGUAUGAUAUUCCUUCCCACACCACUCAGAUGACAAUGGAAACUGUCUCCAUUGUCA
rnacentral:lncRNA from 1 species